GAAAGGGCGCACGGUGAAUGCCUUGGCACUAGGAGCCGAUGAAGGACGGGACUAACACCGAUAUGCUUCGGGGAGCUGUAAGUAAGCUUUGAUCCGGAGAUUUCCGAAUGGGGAAACCCCCUAUCCGUAAUGGGAUAGGAUCUUUACCUGAAUACAUAGGGUAUGGAAGGCAGACCCGGGGAACUGAAACAUCUAAGUACCCGGAGGAAGAGAAAGCAAACGCGAUUCCCUGAGUAGCGGCGAGCGAAACGGGAUUAGCCCAAACCAAGAGGCUUGCCUCUUGGGGUUGUAGGACACUCUACACGGAGUUACAAAGGAACGAGGUAAAUGAACAGGUCUGGAAAGGCCGGCCAGAGAAGGUAAAAGCCCUGUAGUUGAAACUUCGUUCCCUCCAGAGUGGAUCCUGAGUACGGCGGGACACGUGAAAUCCCGUCGGAAGCAGGGAGGACCAUCUCCCAAGGCUAAAUACUCCCUAGUGACCGAUAGUGAACCAGUACCGUGAGGGAAAGGUGAAAAGCACCCCGGAAGGGGAGUGAAAGAGAACCUGAAACCGUGUGCCUACAAGUAGUUAGAGCCCGUUAAUGGGUGAUAGCGUGCCUUUUGUAGAAUGAACCGGCGAGUUACGAUUACAUGCGAGGUUAAGUUGAAGAGACGGAGCCGCAGCGAAAGCGAGUCUGAACAGGGCGAAUGAGUAUGUGGUCGUAGACCCGAAACCAGGUGAUCUACCCAUGUCCAGGGUGAAGUCCAGGUAACACUGGAUGGAGGCCCGAACCCACGCACGUUGAAAAGUGCGGGGAUGAGGUGUGGGUAGCGGAGAAAUUCCAAUCGAACUUGGAGAUAGCUGGUUCUCUCCGAAAUAGCUUUAGGGCUAGCCUCAUGUAGUAAGAGUCUUGGAGGUAGAGCACUGUUUGGACUAGGGGCCCCCAUCGGGUUACCGAAUUCAGACAAACUCCGAAUGCCAAAGACUUAUCCAUGGGAGUCAGACUGCGAGUGAUAAGAUCCGUAGUCAAGAGGGAAACAGCCCAGACCACCAGCUAAGGUCCCAAAGUAUACGUUAAGUGGAAAAGGAUGUGGAGUUGCUUAGACAACCAGGAUGUUGGCUUAGAAGCAGCCACCAUUUAAAGAGUGCGUAAUAGCUCACUGGUCGAGUGACUCCGCGCCGAAAAUGUACCGGGGCUAAACGUAUCACCGAAGCUGUGGAUUGACAUCUUCCGAUGUCAGUGGUAGGAGAGCGUUCUAAGGGCGUUGAAGCGGGACCGCAAGGACCCGUGGAGCGUUUAGAAGUGAGAAUGCCGGUAUGAGUAGCGAAAGAUGGGUGAGAAUCCCAUCCACCGAAUGCCUAAGGUUUCCUGAGGAAGGCUCGUCCGCUCAGGGUUAGUCGGGACCUAAGCCGAGGCUGAAAAGCGUAGGCGAUGGACAACAGGUUGAUAUUCCUGUACCACCUCUUUACCGUUUGAGCAAUGGGGGGACGCAGGAGGAUAGGGUAAGCGCGCUGCUGGAUUAGCGCGUCCAAGCAGUUAGGCCGGUAACGAGGCAAAUCCCGUUACCAUAAAGGCUGAGCUGUANCAAGGGUUGGGCUGUUCGCCCAUUAAAGCGGUACGCGAGCUGGGUUCAGAACGUCGUGAGACAGUUCGGUCCCUAUCCGUCGUGGGCGCAGGAAAUUUGAGAGGAGCUGUCCUUAGUACGAGAGGACCGGGAUGGACGCACCGCUGGUGUACCAGUUGUCUUGCCAAAGGCAUCGCUGGGUAGCUAUGUGCGGAAGGGAUAAGUGCUGAAAGCAUCUAAGCAUGAAGCCCCCCUCGAGAUGAGAUUUCCCAUAGCGUCAAGCUAGUAAGAUCCCUGAAAGAUGAUCAGGUUGAUAGGUCAGAGGUGGAAGCGUGGCGACAUGUGGAGCUGACUGAUACUAAUCGAUCGAGGACUUAACCAAGUUAUAUGGUUAUUACUCGGCAAAUACUUCUUCAUUCAUUAUCUAGUUUUGAGGGAACGAAAAAAUGAAAUUCCCUCUUGAAAAGUCAUAGAAAGACGGUAUAAUAAUACUUGUCUUUGAAAAUAGUCUGGUAGUGAUGGCGAGAAGGUCACACCCGUUCCCAUACCGAACACGGAAGUUAAGCUUCUCAGCGCCGAUGGUAGUUAGGGGCUGUCCCCUUGUGAGAGUAGGACGCUGCCGGGCUGUUUUAACAAACAUCAUUAUUCCGCAGUAGCUCAGUGGUAGAGCAUUCGGCUGUUAACCGAACGGUCGUAGGUUCGAAUCCUACCUGCGGAGCCAAAUGGAGAGCUGUCCGAGUGGCCGAAGGAGCACGAUUGGAAAUCGUGUAUACGCUAACCGCGUAUCAAGGGUUCAAAUCCCUUGCUCUCCGCCAUUAUAAUUUCAUAUUGGCCCCUUGGUCAAGCGGUUAAGACACCGCCCUUUCACGGCGGUAACACGGGUUCGAAUCCCGUAGGGGUCACCAUUUUGGAGGAUUAGCUCAGCUGGGAGAGCAUCUGCCUUACAAGCAGAGGGUCGGCGGUUCGAUCCCGUCAUCCUCCACCAUAUUAUUAUCGCGGGGUGGAGCAGUUCGGUAGCUCGUCGGGCUCAUAACCCGAAGGUCGCAGGUUCAAAUCCUGCCCCCGCAAUCUGGUCCGGUAGUUCAGUUGGUUAGAAUGCCUGCCUGUCACGCAGGAGGUCGCGGGUUCGAGUCCCGUCCGGACCGCCAUUUUUAUAAAACAUGUGGCUCAGUAGCUCAGUCGGUAGAGCAAAGGACUGAAAAUCCUUGUGUCGGCGGUUCGAUUCCGUCCUGAGCCACCAUUAUUAAAUUGAUAAGCCGGUGUAGCUCAAUUGGUAGAGC
rnacentral:rRNA from 1 species